UGUUUUCAUGUGGCUGCGAUUUUCAAGCCCAGUGGAUAAAAUUAAAAACAAUAAGAAGCUUAUUUGUGCACUCGGAGGAACUCAACGCUGUGCAAUUGUUUGGAAGUUUGGAUUGCCUAUUCAUGGCAAAUAGCAUCUGUGCUCAAUUACACUCCAUCCAUCAGGAGACUAUUUUUUGAGUGGAGGAAGGAAGACAUUAACCUAGCACAAGGAACUCAAGGGAAUUAUCGAGAAUGUCUGUGCCCCCUUUGCCAUUCUAAACCCAAGGGAAUCAUCAAGCAGGGAACUCACAGCCUUAAAGGACAGUGAUGCUGCUGAAAUUCCAAAGGAAUGAAGCAAAAAGAAAUUGGAUGUUAGUAGCCACUGUUCAAUACUGCCAAAAGUAAUAUCUUGUGAGAUUCUUCCUGAAAUCACAGAGGAGAAUUUCACCUCCAUCUGGCUGGCUAGUGAAAUCCCAGCUGUGCAGAUCUCUGCUUCAUUAUAUCCUGUAAGCACUGCAGGAUUGCCUUGCCAUCUUGUUUUACACCCCAAGGAUCUGGAUGAGCAACCCUUCACUGAAGUUCGUAUCUUGCAAAGCAUUGCCUUGAGUAAUCCUUGGCUCCAAGCAUUAGACGGCUCCCCCCAGCUGCAGUACAUGCCACACUCAAAAGGACAGGGGCAGGGCACUGUAACAGAAAGCUGGGGACAGUGUGAAUGGGGAACUGGUGGCAAGGUCUGGCUGUGGAAGCACCAGAGAGACAAACAGCAGGAAAGAGGCUCUCAGAAUGGCUGCUGUUAACCCACCAGGGUCAGUGUUAACUCACACCUUCAGAAUGCCAGCACAUCCCCUCACAGUCUCAUAAGGCACCUGGCUUGGAGGCAAAGGACUGUGAUGACUCCCAAAGAUUCCAGAGGUGGGACAGGAUGGAGACACUCCUCACUGUCUGCUCCAGAAGCUCUCGGAAACACAAAUCCCAAACCUGAACAUUGUUGCAGCAUACCAAGGGCUACAGAGAUGUGGCAGGGAUUUGACAGCGGCCAUCGCUUGUCCUGCCUGUCCUCUCAACAGAAUCUGGGUCUUACGUCUGUGCACGGGAGCACUGGGAUGCCUGGCCACCAGCUGGACUGUGUGAUCACCCCUGCCCUGACAGCUGGACAGAGUUCUUGGGCAUCCCAGCACCCAGUGCUGGUGACUACGAGUCUCUCCGAGCCAGAGCGAGGUCUGUUUUGUUUCAGGUUUUAAUUUUAAGAUCCCAUUCCUCUCCUGUAGCAUCUCAGGUGGACAUUUGCUCUAUAUUGUUGAUACAGUGUUGCAACAGUCUUUCCUAUGCAGAUGUACACACACAAAAAACCGCCCAGGAAUGUGCUUAAUUGUGUCUGUUUUAAAUGGGAAGAAUCCAUACCAGGACCCCAGGAUCUGAGCAGAAGCUCUUCUUUAGAGUCAGUCAUUCAAAACUUUCCUCUGAGAACCCUCCCAGCCAUUUAUCAAAUACUUUAAAGUUAUGUGGUCCAAACCACUUUUGGCAGUGCACGCAUGUAUACAUUUAUUAAUAUGUGUAUAUUCAUUUAAUUCUUGCCAACUUCUGCCUUAUUAAUGAAAUCCCUGUAUGCUGAAACAAUGACCUUUACAUUAUCAAUUCAAGGAUUUACAAAACAGAUGGUGGAGACAAAAAAAAAGGAAAAAGGGAAUAAAAAAGGCAACAAGUGAAAUCCCAGCUUGUCUGGCCACAAGGACCAAAGCAUACUUAUCAAAAUAAUCCUGGAAAGCUGGCUGGGGUAGCAAAACCCUAUGGGCUUAGUUGUGUUUCAACUCAAGGGUACCGUUUAACUUAUUAGCACCUCCUCUUCUGCUGCGGGUAAAUAGUGUGCAGAAAUCUGUCUGAUGGUGGUGAUGAGGUACUUCACAUUAGGGAGCAAGAAUCAGGAUUCAUAGGAUUUGUGCUGUUUGCAGGAUUCAGGAUCCAUACUGGUGCUGAAUAGAGAUUGUGAUUUAAGGGAAGGAAAAGUGGCACUACUGUGGCUGCAACAAAGGUGCUUAAUAGAUGUAAACAAGACAAGUUCUGUGGGUUUAAGCAGCAGAAGAGACAUGAAAAAGGUUUGUGACAGAAGGCUUAUCUGUUUUUCCAAGUCCAUUGGUUGCUCCUGUUACAAGGAAUUGCCUUGUUAUUAAACUCUGCAAGAAAUUAAAGAGGAAAAAAGCCUUAAACUGUCAUUAAUGUGUGUGACUGUUUUUCCAAGUUUUGGAGGAGGCUUCUGAACUGGCCUCAGAAAAGAUUCCUACUUGUUUUUGUCCUUAAUGCUGAGUCUAAGAAAUUGAUUUGUGCAUUCUCUUUUUCUUUCUUGUUAAAAUAAUGCUGACUUUUGUAUUGCUUAAGCAAGAGAACUCCAGAGCAGUAAUUUUCUGGGGUUUAUUUAUCAAGAACUAGGAGAUAUGUUAUCUAUACUUCAUAUAUAGAGGUAUUAUACACUCCAAACCUGUCUACAGAUUUCUGCUCCUGGGAUUUGCAAUUGAGGUGUGGAGCCUGACACUUUCUAAAUGACCCCAUUCAGAUAAAUAUGAUAACCAACAGAAUAAAGGUAUGAUACAAAAGUAAAGAGGGACUGAAAUAAAGUUGAUGACAGAGAAGCUGGAAUGAAUGUUGUAGAAAAAUUUCUUAUAUUUUUCUCGCCCUUUGUUCCUCCCAGCUUGCCUUGCCUAUUUCUGAUGUAUUUUUAUCCCAUGUCUGUUUCCUGCUUUCUAAAUCUUGUCUUGAGUAUGAAAGAAUAAGAGAUGGAGAUUUAGACUCAAA